GCCUCUGACCAAAUCACUGAAUGCGCUCCACCUCAUCAGGUAUCGGAAGCUAAGCAGGUUGGUGUCUGGAUAGUGCUUGGAUGGAUGACCACCAUGCACCAACAGGUUGUCAAAAGGCU
rnacentral:rRNA from 1 species